rnacentral:rRNA from 1 species
AGUACGGAAGUUCCUGAUUUCACGCUGUCAAGAAAAGCCUCUAGUUAGAUUAGUACUGCCCGUACCGCAAACCGACACAGGUAGAUGAGGAGAGAAUCCUAAGGUGAGCGAGAGAACUCUCGUUAAGGAACUCGGCAAAAUGACCCCGUAACUUCGGGAGAAGGGGUGCUCUAUUAGGGUGAAAGCCCGAGAGAGCCGCAGUGAAUAGGCCCAGGCGACUGUUUAGCAAAAACACAGGUCUCUGCAAAACCGUAAGGUGACGUAUAGGGGCUGACGCCUGCCCGGUGCUGGAAGGUUAAGAGGAGUGCUUAGCGCAAGCGAAGGUACGAAUUGAAGCCCCAGUAAACGGCGGCCGUAACUAUAACGGUCCUAAGGUAGCGAAAUUCCUUGUCGGGUAAGUUCCGACCCGCACGAAAGGCGCAACGAUCUGGGCACUGUCUCAACGAGAGACUCGGUGAAAUUAUAGUACCUGUGAAGAUGCAGGUUACCCGCGACAGGACGGAAAGACCCCGUGGAGCUUUACUGCAACCUGAUAUGGAAUGUUUGUACCGCUUGUACAGGAUAGGUAGGAGCC